GUACAAGAGUCAUUUACAAAAUCUUCCAUAUAUCCAGUGAUUAUUUACAUUAUGUACAUUUGCAGGAUUCAAGACUUGAUCUGUCCCUUCUAACUUCUAUUCUACCACCAGUCUCUGCAAGUGAAGGAUGAAUGUGAGGUUUAGAGACCAACUGGCAAGAAAACUAAAAAGUAAAAAAAAAAAAAAAAAGGACAGUAAGUCUGGCAGUGACCCAGCUAUUAAAAUUGCAGCAAUGAAAAUAAAAAUUUCUUUAUCUCUGUGAGGGCUGAUAUCUGAUCAUAUUCUAGUCUCUCUACAUCAUUGAGCUCAAUUGUCCUAAUCAGAAAAUAAAGGAUCUGCCCUUUAUCUCCACACGUAUGGGGGGGGGGGGCCUAAAGCUGGCCUUAAAACGUCCAGAAAAAGCAACUCUCCAAGAUACCCGAAAAUUAGUUCUUAUUUAGUUGGUUGAGUAGGUCUUUAGAGGAAUUUAUCUGAUGUUACAAGUUUAGUUUAAAAGGAAAAAGAAUAUAAUAAUAAUAAUAAUUAUAGAAAAAGGAAAAUCUAAACGGGAGUUUUCAUUUUAUU